AGGCCUAACACAUGCAAGUCGAACGGUAACAUUUCUAGCUUGCUAGAAGAUGACGAGUGGCGCACGGGUGAGUAACGCGUAUACAAUCUACCUUUUACAGGGGGAUAGCCUUUAGAAAUGAAGAUUAAUAUCCCAUAGUAAGUAGUUUUGGCAUCAGAACAACUUUAAAGUUUCGGCGGUAAAAGAUGAGUAUGCGUUCUAUUAGCUAGAUGGUGUGGUAACGGCACACCAUGGCAACGAUAGAUAGGGGCCCUGAGAGGGGGAUCCCCCACACUGGUACUGAGACACGGACCAGACUCCUACGGGAGGCAGCAGUGAGGAAUAUUGGACAAUGGGCGGGAGCCUGAUCCAGCCAUGCCGCGUGCAGGAAGACUGCCCUAUGGGUUGUAAACUGCUUUUAUACAGGAAGAAACCUUUUCACGUGUGAAAAGCUGACGGUACUGUAAGAAUAAGGAUCGGCUAACUCCGUGCCAGCAGCCGCGGUAAUACGGAGGAUCCAAGCGUUAUCCGGAAUCAUUGGGUUUAAAGGGUCCGUAGGUGGAUAAUUAAGUCAGGGGUGAAAGUUUGCAGCUCAACUGUAAAAUUGCCUUUGAUACUGGUUAUCUUGAAUUAUUGUGAAGUGGUUAGAAUAUGUAGUGUAGCGGUGAAAUGCAUAGAUAUUACAUAGAAUACCAAUUGCGAAGGCAGAUCACUAACAAUAUAUUGACACUGAUGGACGAAAGCGUGGGGAGCGAACAGGAUUAGAUACCCUGGUAGUCCACGCCGUAAACGAUGGAUACUAGCUGUUCGGUUUUCGGACUGAGUGGCUAAGCGAAAGUGAUA
rnacentral:rRNA from 1 species